rnacentral:misc_RNA from 1 species
AGUCAUCCGUCCAUUCCAUUGCGCGCGCGCGUACCUAAAAUAAUAGUGUGUGCUGUUGUUCUACCUUCUUCUUACACCUUCGAUAGUGAGAAGACGGAGAAAGAAAACAAAUAUUUCGAGGAAAGGGAAAUAAACGAGGAAAGAGUAAUUAGAGAGAUAAAAA